AGAUCUUUUAUGGAUGAACAAUCCAACCUUUCUUAGAUUCUACUCCAAGGGGGAGAUCCAAUACAACAUCGAGGUGGCAAACAAAAGGUUUGAUUUCAUACUCUUUCCUUGUAUUACACUGUUAUCCCUAUAGUAUCUUUUAUCAUUUAAUUUAAUAGUUUUAGUAAAACUAUCAAGGUCUUUUUCCUAAGAAUUAACUUUUUAUGUAAAAACUAUGUAUUAAAAUUUUAAAUUACGUUUUUUAUAGUAAUCAGCCGCCCCAGCUAAACUAUCAAUCUAGAAAAGGAGAUAAUUUUUUAUCUUUUACUUUUUCCUAGAAAAUUAGUAAAGAUUAAUAGGGUCUUUUCGUCUUAUAAAUUUUUCUCAGAAUCUAAACUGAGGAAUUCAAUUUCUUUAGAUUUACCUUAAAAGACAAUGUAGAAAUUGUUUCACCAUUCAUUCCAGACAUCAAUUAAAUGCCAAAUUACUAUGCUACUUUAUUACCCUCACGCUAAGGCAUGUGUUUAAGGAAGUUUAUUAAUUAACUCUCCUCACUGACCAGGUCCCAUCUUAGAAUAUUCCUAAGAC
rnacentral:rRNA from 1 species